rnacentral:lncRNA from 1 species
CUUACUAGCACAGUUUUUAAAGUAUCUAGUGUAUAUAAGGACAAGCCAUUCUCAGUCAAGCAUGAAACUGAAUCUGAGCAGGAAAAGAAGAAAGCUGAAAACACACUGAGGAUUAUGGGAGAGGGGCAAGUGCAUGAAGCUUCUCAAUGACAUACAGACACUCUAAAAGCUCAAGAGAUCAAUUAUUCAACUUCAAGAACUGAAAUUUGAACACAGAUUUUGAGCUUCCAAAUCAGACUGCUGUUAAACUGGCUCACUCCAUAUACUCUGUGCUACAGCAAUUUAAUAUUUCAUUAAAAAGCAUUAAUGAUGGCUCCAGUGAAUUUCUCCUAUUCAAGCUCCAUAAUGACAGCAGUUCAAGCGAGUGUUGAUCUCUGAGUGAUGCAACACAAAAACAUCGCCUAACAAAGGAACACUUGGAGUACUACUCAUAUUCUCUGCAACUUGAGGAGAAAAAGAAGUGUUCUAUAAGAAGUUUGGACAAGACUCUGCAAGAAGUUAAGAGCAGGUCCUUAAAGGCAACUGUGAAUUAACGGAGACUAGUUUUGAGAAAAUCAGUCCUGAUUUGUUUCUCCUGGAGUUUUCUUCUUUAUGUGAUCCUUCAUAAAAGCUGCUAAUAUGGGAAAGAUUGAAAUCAGCAAGUUUCUGGCUGUAAGCUAAAAGAGGCUCUUGAAUCAUAUUUCCGCCUGCUUAGCAAAUUUCUCUUGCGACAAUUGGAUGUUAUUUGGGGUUCCAUACUAGCAGGAAGAAGUACAAGCAAAGCUAAGUCAUUUUGAGAAUAAAUAUUAUCUCUCUAUAUAUUUGUAAAUGUUAUUUUCUUUUUUUUUGAGGUUUAUGAUUGAUCCUUGGCAUGUGUCCCCUUGUGUAUUGCUCUACUAAAAAUAGCCUAAAAAAGAAUUUUCCCCUCGAUGUGGAGCUUCUCUUUAGUUACAAUUCUACUUUCUCCUUCACUUGAGUAUCAGUCUUCAGAGAACUACCAUAACAAAGGAGUGGAUACAGAUAUACGCAAAAAAGUCUAUGAGAAAAUUAGUACAUUAAAUUUGUGAAAGCUCAUUUAAAGUAAUUUUCUACUAACAAUUUUAAUCAAAUGUAUUAAUCAUAUUUCUAUGCUUAGUGAUGUUAAAUAAAAAUUUAAAAGGUGGCAAUCAAUAAACAGAGAUAAAAGCUUCUCAAGAAUAAAUGAAAGGAAGUAAUAAAAAGACUCACUAAGCUGAAUUGCCUCCUAUCAACAGCAGCUGAUAAAAUAUUAAAAGAUUUGCCUUGUGUAAUGUCUCUGGAGAGCUGUCUUACUGAUGUACGAGGCCAUGAUUGACAACUUUGAGACUUUGCUGGAAGCGACAAAAGUAUAUCUAUAAUAUUAUGCUGAAUUGCAUAGGUCUUUCUUCUUAAAUGAGGCUAGAAAUAACAUACCACCAAGUGUUUGGCUUUUAGGAAAUUGAGCAUUUUCUUUAGUUCUAGCUGCAGUUUAAUUUCCUCAGAAUUAGACAUUAUGCGGUAUCUGGAACGUUAAAAAAAAAAAAAAGCAAAAA